rnacentral:lncRNA from 1 species
AGGCGGCCUUCCACAAGCCCACACCUGCAGCUCAUUGAAUCCUCCUGGAGUACAAAGGGCUGAUUUACAGCACGAAGGAUCCAGGCACUGGUUGCAGCUGGGGCUCCAGCAGGAAAAGGAAGUUGUUCAUCAUCUUGUGUGCAUUUCAUUAACAAUAGUGUACCCGAAAUGUAGCUUAUAGAAUAAUUUCAAAUCACUGACAGAGAGCAUUAUGGCAUUUGGCACCACUAGGAAAAAUACUUCGGGAUGGGCAAAUUACACCUGAGCGUGAGGUUUCUAUGCGACCCUCUGGAACUGUGCACUCUGAUUUAUACCAGCAACCAAGAGCUUAGAGGAAGCUGCGCUAAGCAUGGUGAUGGAAACCAACCACCUGAGGAAAUGUAGCUGGUGAGCUGGGAGCACCACAGCAACGUAGUGUGGCAAAUAGUGUGUUUCUUUCUCCUUUGAGUUUCAAUGGUCAUAGAAACGAAGGAGUCCCAGUGAGACACUGAGAUCCCAGAGCUGGCUCAUCAGGACUCUAGGGAAUAAAAAAAAUGGAGAUCCUCAUACUUUCUUCUAUCCCCGUGCCAGGCUGUGCAUCUGUAUCACUGUUGACUUAUUUUUACGCAAGAAAAGCCCACAUGGUUGGAAUGGUGUGAGGGCGAUGAUGAUGAGUGUGGAUGAGGAAAGAGACAGCAAGUGACAGAAAGGAAGAAGACAACUGUCCUCUGGCUAAGGUUCCCACAGACCUCAGGCAGCCUCUGGGCCUGCCUCCUCUGGGGCCAGCGUGGCCUCGAGGUCGAACAUCUCACCUAUUUACCAAGAAGGCUCCAGGUGCUCUGCCUUUCCAGAUCUUUCCUGGGAGUAUCCUGCAGAUCCCACUUGAAAGAUUUUUCUAAGGAAAUGGAAAGCCUUAGAACCUCAAAACAAAAAUGCUUCAAGAGCUACGGCUCUCUGUGGGUUUGUUUGGGGCCAAGCCUCACGUAGGAAGGACAGUGGUGAUGUGCAGAAGGAAAAUGCAAAGACUUCUGAUUAGUUUAUCAAGGACAUUUUAACUUCGACUGCUUUAUAAAGAAGGACAGAAUCAAUAAAAAUUGCCAUCCUCCAGGGAAAGGGAGCAGGGAAGAAAAGCAAAUUUCUUUUCACUUUGUAAUGGUAAACAAACCCGCUCAGAACAGUAUCUGAUGUGGCUGCAUGGAGCCUGGUUUCCAGUUUCUCUUGAUGUGUCAAAUGUAUCCCUUAUGUGAAUCAUGGUUUAAAAAUACUUCUACUCAGUGGGUUCGGGAAAUCAAUAAGCUUUUAUGAUUCUUUCCUUGCUUCACAUAAUUUCUGAUUUCAAAAGAGACUCUGGGUAUUCCUUUAAGAUGUUUGUAUCUUAUGCAUUUUAAAAACAGUUCUUCCAAGGGCUUCCCAAGCAUUGUUGUUAGAGUGGCUGUUUUUCUUCCCAAGCUUUUGCUUUCUUUCUUUCUUUUUUUUUUUUUUCUAACAUAAUGCUAAUGAUUACGGGGCUUACACAUAAAUUGAAGCCGGAUUUAUAAAAUGCAAUAUAAAAAUCCUUGGGAAGGAAGAUAAAUAUAACAAGCUAUGAAACUACGUUAGCCUCUUCCAGCUUUGGAAUGACUACAAAAGAGGAAAUUAAUGACCAGGAUGUGUGAUGUUGCCCAGGUUAGGGGCUUUGGCUCCCAGGCAAGCUGCCUUAAGACGAGCUGUCCUGCAUUCCUUGAUUUCUCUGAAAUACAAAUCUAAUUGCAGAUUGGAACAUAUCCAUUCGCUUAGUCUGUAAAAAUAAUUUUCCCUGAAUAUUUACCCAAAGCGCAUUAUUGCUUAUACAGUUGUGAAAAGCAUUUAGCACUUUAUAAUCCCAUAUUUGCUCCUAUGUGGGCCUGGGAGUG